UCUACGGGGGGCAGCAGUGGGGAAUAUUGGACAAUGGGGGCAACCCUGAUCCAGCCAUGCCGCGUGUGUGAAGAAGGCCCUCGGGUUGUAAAGCACUUUCAGUGAGGAAGAACGCCUGGUGGUUAAUACCCAUCAGGAAAGACAUCACUCACAGAAGAAGCACCGGCUAACUCCGUGCCAGCAGCCGCGGUAAUACGGAGGGUGCGAGCGUUAAUCGGAAUUACUGGGCGUAAAGCGCGCGUAGGUGGCUUGAUAAGCCGGUUGUGAAAGCCCCGGGCUCAACCUGGGAACGGCAUCCGGAACUGUCAAGCUAGAGUGCAGGAGAGGAAGGUAGAAUUCCCGGUGUAGCGGUGAAAUGCGUAGAGAUCGGGAGGAAUACCAGUGGCGAAGGCGGCCUUCUGGACUGACACUGACACUGAGGUGCGAAAGCGUGGGUAGCAAACAGGAUUAGAUACCCGGGUAGUC
rnacentral:rRNA from 1 species